rnacentral:rRNA from 1 species
AUACGGAGGGUGCAAGCGUUAAUCGGAAUUACUGGGCGUAAAGGGUUCGUAGGCGGUUAUUUAAGUCAGAUGUGAAAGCCCCGGGCUCAACCUGGGAAUUGCAUCUGAUACUGGGUAACUAGAGUUUAAGAGAGGAGUGUGGAAUUUCCGGUGUAGCGGUGAAAUGCAUAGAGAUCGGAAGGAACAUCAGUGGCGAAGGCGGCACUCUGGCUUAAAACUGACGCUGAGGAACGAAAGCGUGGGUGGCAAACAGGAUUAGAAACCCUAGUAGUCC